AAAUGCACUCAUGUCAAGUGCUUGAAUCUUUGCAUGGAGCUGGUUUUUCAAUUGCUGAGUUCUAGUGUUGGCAACAAGAAUUUUACUGUGGGUAAAUACGGUUUCAAAUUUCUAUGCUUCCCAAGUGAUGUUCGAAUUCUGAUGCCCGUGGAUUGUCCGCUAACACGCAUAAUACAGGUCACAGGCAAUGGAUUUCCCAAGUGCAACAGACGGAACUACGUUAGAUGUGCUAAUAAAGUGAAUGUUUUCGAUUUUUCGAAAUUCGUUUCGUGGAAGGCCCGCCAAACUCAUCGAGAAACUCUCCAACCGAUUCCAUUUCUUCGUUGUGUUUCCGCUUGUUUCGUCGCUAAAGACGAGCAACGGAACUGUGGAAGUCGGAUUUUUUCCACCGGAUUGUAUCCUGUCGACGUGUGGUGCAAGAAUGUCUUUGGCUUCCUGUGAUAAAAAGGUUUUAAUAAUAAAACGUUAUUAUACAAAGAACAAGAAACCGCGUAUGGAUUUACAUAAAUAUAUGCUACUGUUUAGGAGUUUAUUAGUUGCGCAAACCUGUUCUGAUACUUCAGACGCUUGUUCGUUUACAUAUUUCUGCUUUAUUUGACGAGGAUGUAGAUCAACUUUACAUUGGAUACUGGAAGUAUGGAUGGUCACUAUCACAUCUGGACAAAUGCAAUAACGUCCAUCCCCUUCAUCUUGAAUAUAUUCGAUUUUUGUCAAAAUUUCCGUUUGGUUGCGAAUGACCUAAAAUUAAACUGACACUAUAGAAGUCGCAAGCCGGUUACAAAUAUAGUUCAGCUGAUUCGAGUAUGAUUAUCUUUCCAAAAUCGUAGCCCCUUAUUCUCUAAAGUUCCUAGGUAAACGUGGAAAGCCAACCUAAUAUAUGGGUCUAAAAAAUCGACAACCCAUCAUCCGUUCCGUGUUCGGAGAGGACUGGAAGCCGGACAAUCUUAAUGGAAUCUGUUUUUAAAGCACUGCACACUUACCUUAGCGAAGAAUUUGGUUAGUUUUCCUAUAUAUAUAUCCCCGUCAGAUAAAAAUUUCACGAUAUCUUUCAGAUAAUACGUCGUUCCGUUCACAGAGAUCGAUGAGCUUUGAAAGUCUUCGUUUUCCAACCACUUGCGUCCCUGUAUCAAAGGGAAUACAUGUACUGUUCAUUCUGCAGUUCAGUGUACGCGUUAUCUUGCUUCGUGUGCAUGGUAUAAAACAUUUGGACAAAGUUGUACCCAUAGGCGUACGGGAAAGUGAAGCUGGGCUCCCCCUCCUCCUUUUCGGGCAAAACGUGUCUUGUCAUUCAGGCAACGACGUUACAACGGUCUAUUUAGAGGUAUUUCAACAAGUUCAAUUUUUACAGGUUUACUACAAAUAGCGUAGAUUGGAUUUGGUUUCGAUUCUUACGCAUAUCC